AUCAUGAAAAUGGGGAAAUCCUAUAUUCUCGAAUCAAUUCACAAUUUAUUUUGUAUAUUAAUUAGAUUCCGGGCUCAUCAGUACGUACUCACUGGCGACAUCGAGAAAAUGUAUCGGCAAUUCCUCGUACGACCAGAGGAUCGGAAAUAUCAAAGGAUAUUAUGGCGCAGCGCGAGUGGAGAAACAGAAACAUAUGAGCUUAACACCGUAAUACUCUUAUCAUAGAAAUAGAAGCAGUCCUCAAUUCCCGCCCGCUAACUCCUAUCUCCACCGAUCCAAAUGAUCUCCUAGCCCUCACUCCCGGACAUUUCCUCAUUGGCGAUUCAUUAAUGUGCUUACGUGAUCGAGAUUUCAGAGACAUUCCAUCGAACCGACUCUCCAAAUGGCAGCAUAUCCAACAGCUUAAACAACAUUUUUGGAACCGCUGGCAUAAGGAGUAUUUGAACGAGCUAACCAACCGCAAUAAAUGGAGCAAGGGUGGACACAGCAUCCAAAAGGGCACAAUCGUCAUCCUCAGAGAGGACAACGUUCCCUCCAUGCAUUGGCCUCUGGGCCGAGUUAUCAAGGUUCAUCCAGGCGCCGAUGGUGUCAUCCGGACAGCUACAGUUCAGACGGCAAAGAGCAUUUUGGAUCGGGGCGUCAAAAGGCUUGUCCCACUGCCAAUUCAACCCGAUCUCGAGAAACCCGAACAACUAGCCACCGAGCCGAAAUAAGAUGGGAACUUCAACCACACCUCGCUAGUUUGAUCGGUACCCUCUCAACGGGGGGAGAAUGUUACGCCAUGCGGCUUACCAUAGGUCAUAUUCUUAACUAUCGAUCGCGGCACUAUAAUGUCGCAGACGGAUCGUCGCGUCUGCCCGGCAAACAAACAUUGUAGUGGCAAGCGCAUGGUUCAUUAAGCAGGGCGACUUCCAGAAACGUCGACUCGUGGCCCGUAUUUUACCUCGCAGUAAAAGAAUGUGGCGUGAUCCGAACGUAGUGGGGGUCGCCUUCCAGAAAAAACGAAAAAAAUCGAAAGGCGUUCAGAACUUUUCGAGAAGUCGAACCGUCAACACAUGUGGGCAAUCCGGUGGACUUGAUCGGCUUUUUACUUCGAAAGUUGAGUAAUCGGUGUCGCUUUCUUACGCAUCUUUGAACUGUAUAAAUGUUUUAAAAUUGUUUGAUCCAGAAUGUACCACACCGGACAAUCAAGAAGGCAGGUGCCUUGACUACAGAAAAUGUAAACCUCUGCAAGAAAUAUGGCAGAUACAGUACCGUACAGCCACCGAUUUUUAUAGACGAUCAGUGUGCAGAUACCAGGGCAAUGUUACGAUCGUUUGCUGUCCGAACGAUCCAAACAAAGAGAAGAGAGAAAUUUUAAUAAAAACUGUGUAUAAGUAUAAGGCUUUGCGACCACCAUACUGUGGUUUUAGCAACGUCUCUCAUACCAGGGUGGUCGAUGGUAAACCAGCUGAACUUGGAAGAGUAUCUUUUUGCUUGAAAUAAAAAAUUGAUAUAGGAGUAAUAAUAUGGAGAGAGAUCAAAAACUGUUAGGGCAGAAAUUACACGUUUGAACUUUAUAGUUCAGUAUAGUUCAAAUAGAAAUUAUAUAGAAUUAUUUAAUAAUUUGUAUUCCACUGGAAUAAAAAUUUAAUUUCUGUCUUUAUCAAAUCUCUAUUUCAGAGUAUUUGUACGUAUGUACUUAUCGUCUGCUGUAUGAUCGAAUAUCGAAUAGGCGCUUGGCCAUGGAUCGCUGCAUUAGGUUUUCGUAAUCCCCGAAACCCAGACAAACCACUAUGGAAGUGCGGAGGUUCCCUGAUAUCGGCUAGGCAUGUUUUGACCGCAGCACAUUGUGCACAUAUGGAUGGAAUAGAAAACAUACACAAUCAUAAUAUUGCCAUUCUUAGAUUGGUGGAGGAGGUGCCAUUUUCGAGGUACGUAUAUCCCAUUUGUACGAAAGAGCAACUUCGUCGGCUAUAACCCCCUUGUUGCUGGAUGGGGAGCGUUAAGAUAUAGACGACCACGACCUAAUGCAUUAAUGGAAGUACAAAUGCCAGUGAUUGAGAACGCCAAAUGCAAAAUAGCUUAUUCCAAAUUUCCUAAUGCACCUGAUAUCACUGAUGGUAUAAUAUGCGCCGAACAUGCUCAGGGUGGAGAGGAUUCUUGUACGGCUGACCGCGGCGGACCACUGCUGAUACAACAUGAAUUAACCUCGUAUUUAAUAGGUAUUGUGUCUUAUGCUUAUAAGUGCGGCACAGCUGGGUAUCCCAGCGUUUACACUAGGGUCACAUCGUACCUUGACUUCAUUCUCCAAGCGAUGCAAUAAUAUGAUAUUACUGUUCCAUAAAUAUCAUUGUGUAAAAAACGUAAAGUUGGAUUUUCUUAUUGUGGAGAUAAGAAACAGCUCAAAUUUACAUUGUUUUGUACGUUACAAAUUAUAGGCUUAAAAUGUACGAAAUGUAACUUUGAAACGACACUAAUUUUUUACGCACGAUAAACCUCCACGACUUAGAUUAUAGAUUCCUAUACGACUCUCAGUAAAAAUUUAUCCGCACUCCAGAUAGUUAAAACUUCUGUCGACCGUAUUGAUCCAUCUGCACUCUUCGUAUGACGUCAAUAUCUGUUCAGUGCUGCUGCGCAGGUUUCUUUGUGUUACGUCAAUUCGUUUGUGACCGUUGCGCGAGUAAUGGCGCUUUGCAAUGGUGAUUUGCAGGAAAACAGUGCAGGAUGCUGUGAUUCGUUUCUUGUGGUCGGAGGUUAUGUUUGAUGCCUAUAUUUAUCAAAGAUUUAAUGCACAUUAUGGAGAAAGUGUUUUGUCACGAAGUGUGUUUGAAUGGGCACAAAAGUUCAAAGAAGAUCGCACAAGUGUUAUGAAAAAACAGCUGGACGCCCGUCCACAUCCACGAUGACAACAUUGAACGUGCUCAUGAACUUAUGCUCUAUGGAAUAGACGAGUGACACUGGAUAAUGUGGCAAAUCAUUUGCAAAUCAGCCACGGCUCUGCUUAUGCAAUAGUGCACGACAGAUUUGGAUUUUAAAAAGUUUGUGCGAGAUGGAUGCCGAAAAAGCUGAUGAAAAGGUGAAGACGACGAUGCAUUCGUGGUUCGCAGCUCAGCCCAAAACAUUUUUUAAUGAGAAAAUACAAAGGUCCUUCGGUAAAUGGACAAAGUGUAUACAGAAAUCGAGUGAUUAUGUCAAAAAAUGAUGUAUGUCUUUUUUGGCAAUUGCUUAAAAUAAAUUCUACACCGACAGAGCGGGCUGUUAAUCUAGAGGCUGGAGUACAAAGAAGUGGCACAAUGAUGUGGGCUGAUGACAUUUAUAAUUAUCAAGGAAUCACCCCUACAUUCGCUCAGAAUUUUAAUGAAACUGUCCCUUGGGAAGGAAGAACUGAUACCUUGAUAUCACGGUUUGUACAUCCUAUAUAUACGACAAAUUUUAGAACAUUAUAUAACGAAGAACCAGAUCGUCGUGGCCAUGUGAUGUGAAUAAAAGGACUUGAAUUUGAUGAUAUUUUUAUAAUGUUAGAUAACAUAACUAAGUAUCUUCGCAGUAAGAUAGGAUGACAUGGUUUACAUGAUCUUAAUGUUGUUCACUUGAGUGAUGAUAUUAUAAGGAAAAGUGUAAUAUCACAGGAUAUUUAUGUUUAGUAACCAGUAAUUCAGAGAUUGGUAUUCAUGGUUACUAUAACGAGGCUGUAGAAACGCACCCUUUCUUCUUUGCAAAUGGUCCUGUAUUUAUGUCUAAGCCGAAACUGGAACCUCUGAAUAAUUUAGAUUUAUUCUUGUUAUUUUCUAAAAUACUUAUCUACAGUAUACCAUAAGGAAUGAUACCGUAUCGCACCUAAUCAAGUGCCUUAAGAAACAUCAACAGGAUAUCACAGUAAUCCCUUAUCGACUGAUAUUUGUAGCCACUACAAUAUCUAUGACACUGGUAGUAAUUAUGAGAACAAUAAUGAUGUGUUCUAUAAGAGGAAAUGAUGAUUAGGAACAAAAACUUACAGGAGAUAUCAUGCGGUGGAUGGAUAAUAUGUAAAAAAUAUUAAGCAGUAUAUGAAUUUUCAUAUUGCGUAGAGAUAACAAAAUGAAUUUUAAAAAAUGUCGACACGGUAAUAAGAAAUAGCAUCAUGACAAAGAAUAUAUAAAGACAGUUUCAUUUUUUAUAAAUAAAAAUUUGUUGUUCCAGA